ensembl:lncRNA
AGCUUUUAUUUGUUUAGUGCUUGCACAAAUAAAUGUACACUCGUUUUGAAUUAUCACAUCAUCUAAACCUAUUUCUAAAUAAAGGUAUUACAGCUGUUUGAGACAGACGUAUUACAGGGAAACAAGCCCCGCCCACUCUUUUGUGGGGACAUUUCUUUGCUGUUGUUGUGACGUUGGCAGAAGAGCAGGGCGUUGUUUGUAAACAGUCAACAUGUCAGGAUGCAUCAUGUGCGACUGACACGAGAACAAGGAAUGUGCUCAGGCUGUGAGACAAAAGACAUUAGAAAGACAUUCAGAGACCCACAAAGAGACACAUCAGACAAGGCUUGUUUAUGGUUGUUUUGUGUCUUUUGGUGAUUGGUCCCUUUUUAUAGUCUUUGACUCUUUGUAUCUUUUUGGCGUCGCUUUGUGUCUCUUCAUAGUGGUUAUGGUCUUUCUCUAGAAGCUUUGAGGCUCUUUGUAGUCAAGUAUUUUAUGUUUUUUUGUCUCUGCUAUUGAAGAAUCUUGAAGAAAAGUAGAAUCGAGAAGUUCAUAAUAUUUACACCUUUCAGCCGAUUUAGAUUCAUGAAACGUUCUGAAUUUAUCUAAACUUUUAUGGCUUAUUUUACAUCUGCCUAUUUUCAUCUAAUAAUCUAGUCGAUUCCACAUGUUUUAAUUGUUUUUAAAUGAUGUUUAAAAUCUGUUUCUUUUGCACUCUAUCAUUUGAUGUUCUAUUUGAUGCGACUUGAACUGACUUUUAAUUACAUAUUAAGCAUUGACGUUUGGUGGAUGAGUGACAAUCAUUAAAAGAUUCCAGAAACUAGAAAAACUAGUCGACAACCUACCUCUCCAUCCCUUGAUUGCUCUUUGACUCGGCUCCGAGGCAUUUCUGGGAGCGGUGCCGCCCUGUUGGUGAUCCAUUUGUUUAUUUAUUUAGAUUUCGCUGUCUCAUUACAUCAAAAGAUUUGCAAAUUGUUUUUAUUUCUAAAGCGCUGAUAAUUAUUUUUAAAUUAGAUUCCCAUUUAGAUACAUGUCAUUUCUAACUAAAGAAUCAACAACAGUUCUAAUGUCACAUUAAGGGAACUCGUGGUGUUUUGCUGAAGUAAGGGAAAAAUAUUUUGGAUUAGUUUAAUAAUGAAAAAGAAAAUGGAAUAAUGUGAACGAAGACUGUGGCGAGAUGUUCCAUCCACGACCCGGUUCACUGAGAACAGGGAGGAGCGCAUAACUACUUCACGGCAGGAAAGAAAAGUUAACAUCAAACCAUCUCUGUGAGUGUUUCUCAUCUCCAUUUUCUAUUUCUAUGAGAUAGGUUUCCUGCCUUUUCUCGAAUACAAUGUUAUGAAAUGAUAUAAUUGAUCUUUAUCAUUUGUAAUACAUGUAUCUGUAUUCUGAGUGUAGAUCAUUUUUUAAUUAUUGUCUGUGUUCAGCUAUAAAUGUGUUAUGUCUUGAUAUUUAAAAGUUGUUCUUUUAAGUUAACUAAGAAUAUUAUAUUAUAAAAGAAAGUAUGCUAAUAAUACCGGUAUAUGGUAUAAGUUUGUAUUGACAUAAAAAACAUUAUGGUGUUGAUGACAAUUUGAAGUAAAUAUAUUAUUAUGUAAGAAAGUACUAAAUGUAAUUACGAAAUGUAUUACUGGUUGAAACAUACCUGGCGUAAAUUAACAGAUGUCUUUCUACAACAGGGAACAACUUUUCAUUGAGGAUGAAGAUCUGUAUCGUCCUACUUCUGUGUGUUGGUAAGCUUAAUUGCUUGCAAAACAGUAAAUCUUUCAAAUAUUCAAUCACAAUAUUCAAGUUCAACUAAUUCAUCCAUAUCAUUUCUGAACAGCGUACACAGAAACAACAACAGCAACUACAGAUGCACCCGCAACAACAACAGUACCAGCUGCAUCAACUAUAGUAGCAGCCGCAACCACUACAGUAGCAGCUGCAAGAACAACAGUUCCAGCAGCAACAACUACAGCUGCACCCGCAACAACUACAGUAGAAGCCACAGCAACUACAGUACCAGCUGCAUCAACUACAGUAGCAGCCACAACAACUACAGCUGCACCCGCAACAAAAACAGGGCCAGCCGCAACAACUACAGCUGCACCCGCAACAACUACAGUGGUAGCUGCAACAACUAGAGUACCAGUCGCAACAACUACAGCCAACCCAACAACAACUGCAGCAGCAGCAACCUCCACAGAUGCUCCAGCGGUAACUACAGCAGCUCGACCAACUACAGCUGCACCCGCAACAACUACAGUAGCAGCCGCAACAACUACACCACCAGCUGCAACAACUACAGUAGCACCCGCAAUAACGACAGUGGCAGCCGCCUCAACUACAGUAACAGCCGCAACAACCUCAGCCAACCCAACAACAACUUCAGUGGCAGCAACCACCACAGAUGCCCCAGCCACAACUACAGUAGCUCUAACAACUACAGCUGCACCCGCAGCAUCUACAGUAGCUGUAACAACUACAGUACCAGCUGACACCACUACAGUACCAGCUGCAUCAACUUCAUUGGCAACAGCAAGAACUACAGUACCAGCUGCAACAACCCCAACCAACCCAACAACAGCAGCAGCAGCAACCACAACAAGUUCCUCAGCCAUAAAUACAGCAGCUCUAACAACUACAGUACCAGCUGCAACAACAGUACCAGAUGCAUCAACUACAGUUGCACCCGCAAUAACGACAGUGGCCGCCGCAACAACUACAAUACCAGCUAAAACCACUACAGUACCAGCUGCGACAACUACAGUAACAGCCGUAACAACCACAGCCAACCCAACAACUAAAGGAGCGGCAACCAGCAGAUUCCCAAGCGACAACUACAGCAGCUCUAACAACUACAGCUGCACCCGCAGCAACUACAGUAGCUGUAACAACUACAGUACCAGCUGACACCACUACAGUACCAGCUGCAUCAACUUCAUUGGCAACAGCAAGAACUACAGUACCAGCUGCAACAACCCCAGCCAACCCAACAACAGCAGCAGCAGCAACCACAACAAGUUCCUCAGCCAUAAAUACAGCAGCUCUAACAACUACAGUACCAGCUGCAACAACAGUACCAGAUGCAUCAACUACAGUUGCACCCGCAAUAACGACAGUGGCCGCCGCAACAACUACCAUACCAGCUAAAACCACUACAGUACCAGCUGCGACAACUACAGUAACAGCCGUAACAACCACAGCCAACCCAACAACUAAAGGAGCGGCAACCAGCAGAUUCCCAAGCGCCAACUACAGCAGCUCUAACAACUACAGCUGAUCCCGCAGCAACUACAGUGUCAGCCGCAACAACUACAGUGGCAGUUGCAACCACCACAGAUGCUCCAGCCAAAACUUCAGCAGCUGUAACAACUACAGUAGCACCCGCAAUAACGACAGUGGCAGCCGCAACAAAUAAAGUACCUACAGCUGCAUCAACUACAGCCAACCCAACAACUACUGCAGCAGCAGCAGCAGCAAUCACCACAGAUGCCACAGCAACAACUUUAGCAGCUCUAACAACACAGUAAACGCCACAACAAUCCCAGCCAUGCAGGAACGACUACAGCUACCCCAGCUACAACUACAGCAGCUAUAACUACAGCUGCACCAGCAACAACUACAGUAACAGCUGCAACAACUACAGCCAACCCAACAAAAAAACUGCAGCAGCAGCAACCACCACAGAUGCCACAGUACUUUGGUGUAUAUACAUAAUUUUUCAGGAACAAUCGUGAACAGUCCAUGCGGUUAUGAAGUGAAUAAACAUGAUUUGUCUGAGCUCAGGUCACAAGAUCUAUGGUGGACUUGAGGUGAGCUUCCAUAUCAAACCCGAGUGUUCUCCGAGGUUCUGUUGAGGUGAGAAGAGAAAGAAAGUAACUGAGGAUCACAGUAAAUUCAGAAAGUAACCAUAUUUUUGAUCUAUUUCAAUGUUUUUCAUUUGUAGUUUUCAACAUUUUUAAAACAUGGUCAUUUAAUCUAAAUAAUGAAAUUUCAACAAAGUUUUAGCGUCCCAUAAAUGUUUUAUUAGAUCAUGACUGUCGCUGCUGGCGUUCACUUUGUGCAGAAGAUAAAGAACAACCAACCCAGAGCCUGAUUAAUAGACUUACCGUACAUCAGACUCCACCUUGUUUUAAUGUUGCAAUUAUAAACUUGCUGAACUUGUGUUCUUGUGGACACACGUACGGGCACCUUAUGGGGAUCGGCACAUAGUUUACAUGAUAAACCGGAUCACAUGGCUUUCAUAUUACAAGGACAAUAUGUUUCAUCCCCAUAAAACUGCAACCUGGAACAACUAUAAUGUUUUAUUACACGUCAUUUAUGUUAUUUUAGAAGAUAUUUUGCAGCAGAUGCGUCAAAAUAUAAGCAAUGUCUUCCUGUGUUUUACAUGCAUCUACACGGAGCCAUUUUGAAUACUUUUGAUCAUUUCACUGGAGCAAAUCAACUUAUUGGGGAUUGACUGAUUGAAUUGGUGGAAUCCUCAGGGCUGAGUAUGAGUAAUGAACUGGUUCAAACCUUUUGCUUGAUGGCUUUACAACUUUUACAAAUAACAACACCUUCUGUCCCAGGACCGCAAAGAAAAAACCCUCCAAAAGGUUACAGAAUAUGAUAAUAGAAUAUGUAAAAUGAGCUGUUUCUCCUGUCAGGAGUGUGUGACAAGUUCUAUGCAGUUAUCUUUUACGUCUUGUAUAUGUCAAAUACAUUUUGGGUAUCAAGCUCUGACAGGAAUGUAAUUAGGUGCAGCUCAAACGAUAAUCCGGCCUCGGCCUGUUUCAUAAACGCACAAGCAUCACAGCUCAUUCGGCUUUAAGGGAAGCACGUUAGAGGAGAAACCUGUUGUGUAACACGACCUUUGGGUUGGAAAGCUGCUCCAGGGACAAUGGGAACAUGUUAAAUCAGCUGCUCGGCCGCUCUGAUGUCACAUGUUCACAGAGUUAUGAAAACCUAAUCUCGCUGUUGAUAAAAUGUGUGCUGCCAAAAUAUAUAUUUUUUUUACAUUACAUGUCAUUUAGCUGACGCUUUUAUCCAAAGCGACUUACAAUAAGUGCAUUCAACCAUAGGGGUACAAACUCAUAAGAACAAGAAAACAGAAAGUGCAAUUUCCUCAGAUAAGCCAAUUUACAAUUUGCUAUAGAUGAGUGGCGUUAUAAGUACAAUUUAAGUGCCACAAUUUGUUAGUCAAGAAAAUACUGAAAAGUCCUUUUGUUUAAUAACAAACUUUUGUCAGCGGGAAGAUUUUUAUCAUAUAUUUUUUUACAUUUCAUUUCUUGAUGCAUGUACAUAACACACGUUGCAUUAUUAUUUGUAUUUAUGAAUAUAUGUAUCGUGAACUCUGCCCUCUUUGACUUCGAGGCUCCCGUUGACCUUCUGACGGUUCAGCCUGAUCUCCAAAACCUGUAUACAAAAAUUGAACAUACAAAUUCGUAGUGAUACAUACUAAAUAAAUACUGUAACUGAUGACGUCACCCUAUUCAAAGUGAAUGGGGACCUGCACCCCGUAAACACACUUUGUGAAGUCUAACGAUGUAAAAUAAACGUGUUAUGAUUGCAUUUUUAACGAGAAAUCAAUAUUAAAUUGUAAGAAUCGAAUACUAACCCUAACCCCCUCAAAAUAUCCAACAUGGCGGAGAGACGGUCACUCAAGAAUCCAACAUGGUCCGACAUGUUGUUCACUCAAGGGGCGUGGUUAACCCCCGCCAGUUCGUAUGUUCAAGAUUUUCGUAUACAUUUUUACGAACAGGUUUGGGAGAUUACGUUGGACGGUUUGCUUCUGUCACGUCAUAACGAGCCCUUUGUGUCAUUCACAUCAAAUGGCGACUUGGUCCAAGGGAAUUACCCACAAGUCAUUGCAAUAAACACAGGAUAUCCAAAAAUAUUAUUGAAGACAAGCUCUCAUCUUGAGCAGAAAGAGCCUGACAGACAUUCAAAUCAGAGAAUAAAAACUUAACUUAAUACCCUCAUUUUGUAAAGCAUACGUUGAUUGGCAUGUGAUGGAAAAGUGCAGAUUCAUAUUUACACAAACUAGUAACAAGUGAUGCUGUGACGCUUUUGAAAGUAAUGAACUUAUUCAAAUAUGAUUUCUUUAUAAUGACUCACAAUUCUCAAUCUGGACAUAAAAGCUGUCUUGACGUCAGACAAAUGAUCUUGUUUCAGAUUCAGGGAAGUUGUAUGUAGUGAACAAUGGAGCCAGCUGACUAAUAGUAUUUACGAACCAGAAGACAAGUAAGUCAGAGUUAUUUAAAACACCAAGUCAUGAAGGGCAAAUGUCCCGGAACCUGUUUGACGGGUUGACAUACGUUGAUUUAAUUAAUAGUACAUUACUUUCACCACCCUUACACUGUCAUCAGGGCCACAACUUUUAAUGAACCUGGGAAAUGAUAUAGUCGUUCCCAAGUCUACAAAACAGUUUUUAUGAUUAUGAACUGUGUUAAGGAAUAUUUCAAUAAAAGCUCGGUAGAAGACAAUGAUUUGUCUGAUAAAACAGAGUCUUGAUGAAUGAUCAAAGUUGCAAAAAGUCCAUUUAUUGCUUGCAAGCAGGAGGUCAAAUACACAGGCACGUAUCACGGUGCUCUGUGGAAAUGACGUCUCCGAGCAGUAAGAACGCUGAGUUUUUAUACACAUAUGAAGGACAUUCUCCAUGCCCGUUACGAGAAGCUUCAAAGCGGGUUGAGAUAAGAACCCAGGUGAAGCUGAGGGUAGCACACACACACAAGAUCCUCCUCAGUGGCCGGUACCAAUCAUUAUUAAUUGACAUAAAAGUAAAACUUGGAUCCAGAACUUUCGUACAAAAUAAGAUAUCAACCAAGGCCAUGAACAGGAGUCCUUUGUUUUGAAGCUUCUAUGAGAUCGAGUCAACCGUCCUCCCUUCUCAGGGCACAGCCGCAAACUAACAUUUUGUAUCAUGCUGCUCUUUGCACAUCGGGGUCAAAUACAGGACACUUGAGACACGGCUUUAGCACAAAACAAUGUUAUAACAUAUUUUUACCAUUACAACUGUCAGAGUGCCGGUGGAAUGAACUGGUGCAAACUGUAUGUGCUUUUGGGCCGACAGGGGAACGGGUGAGGAGGACGACCGAUAAUGAGACACGAAAAAGACAGGGUCACAAGUAGCAGCAAGAUACGCCGACGUCAUGCUUCGACUUUAUCCUCCCUCUGGUCGUCCACCGGACAGCCAUGCGUGUCCCUGUCUCCUUCUCGGCUCGUUAGUCCAUGGUGGGUGGUCUUUUGGUCUGUCUCGUUGGUCCGUUUGGUAUUCUUACUUUAAAAAAAGUAUUUCUGCUAUGGAGUCCUUCUUGUCCUGGACUCCCCCGGGACAGACGUAGCAGCACACAGAUGUUGCGGCUGCUGCGACUAGGUGUCCCUCUUCUCCACCCCAUGGGGACAGGUCCACAGAUGAGCACGCUGGAAACGUCUCCCUUCAUCGAAAGCUUUCUUGUGGAUAAAUAACAGAAAAAGGUUUCAGAGGUAAAUGUGUGUUUCUAUGCAAAUAAAAAGGUUUUGUAUUGUUAUUGCAUGUAAUGGUAAAAUAUGUUAUAACACUGUCUUGUGCUAAAGCCAUGUCUCAAGUGUCUGUAUUUGACCCUGAUGUGCAAAAACGCAGAUUUUCAGACGCAGAACUCAAAAGAUUUAAGGUUUCCAUAUGCAGCUGUUUCUGAAGAAGGGAGUUAACUUGCUCUCACAGGCGCUUGAACAAAGGAGCAGUGUGUGUUCAUCUUCACCUGGGUUCUUAUCUCAACCUGAUUUGCAGCUUCUCGUACUUGGCAAUGAGCAUGGCCUUCACAUGUGUAUAAAGACUCAGCGUUUCUACUGCUCGGAGACGCCAUUUACACCAAACGCUGAGAUAUGUGCUCGUGAAUUCGAUCUCCUGCUUGCAAGCAAUAGUUAGAGCCAGAUAUAUCUGCGGAGAAUUGCUCAUGUAAUCUUUUUCUCUUCUAAAUAAAUGUUAACUUUUUGACUUUAAUUGAUCAACGUGUUGCGAUCCUUCUCAUCAACCAACUCGGGGGGAUCAGAGAUCCCGACAGUAUCCGUAUAAAAGACCCAAAUGAUGUCAUUAGUGUGUGUUUGUAACUACAGGUUCCAUUGUAAUUUGAAAUACACUUUGCAGUUCAUGUUGCUUUGUAAUGUGUUGUAAUUCUUUGUUUAGUUCUUUUAUACCUUUUUAUUCAGGCGGGAGUCUUCCCCGUUAUUCGUGUCCCUCCUCAGGAGAUGAAAGCGAGGUGCUGAGCAGAUCACUAACAUGGACGUGAUCCUCUACCACUGUUGCCCGUUUCUGGGGUAAAAUGCGCUCUGGGACAUUCGGCUUCCACAAAUAUGGACCAUUCUGCUUUGCUGCAUUGUGGGUAAAACGGGCAGGGCGAGUCACCUCUGGGCAAUUUGGUUUGACUUUCAUCUGUCUACUUUAAGAUCCUUUCAUCCAGGAACAACAGAACGCUGUGUGAGUUUCUGGUUUAUUUCCCGUUCCUGAUUGAUUCCCAUCUGCCAAUAAAUAAACAUUAAUAUAGUGGAGAGAGGGGACCUGGACGACCUUCUGGUGCAGCGCUGAUGAGCUCACAGCGGUUCGUCUGGUCCUCUGAGGUCUGUACUGGAGAACGUGAUGUUUCUUUGGUGUUUCCUCUACUUCCUCUCCGAUAAAGUCCCGAGCAGGAAGCACACAUAUAUGCACUUUGAUCUGAAAAGUAGAGAAGCUAUAAACAGACUCUUUAUGUUUGACUUUCACAUCUGAUGUGAAGACCCUCGGCAGAGCCCCCUGACGUCCCCUUGUGGUGCCAUUCUAGCAAAGAUGAUGCUUUUAGAACCUGGAGUCACAUGACCUUCCAGGUGUUGGACUGAUCCGAGGCCUUCUGCUGCUCCUCUGGGUCGAUGCUCUCCUCCCGUGUUCAGGUUCUCCUCCUCACAAGGACGGGCGCACACCGCAGGAUAAAGCGGAGGGCGGCGCCUCGGCGAGGCCGGCGUAAGUCAACACCAUGUUUCUAUUUCUAUUCCUGCGCAAAGGAAGCUGCUGUCGUCACAAAGUGAAACCAAAACAAAAUACCUCUGAUCAUUUUACACUAUCUUCCUUUAAAUAUCACAAACAUAUUCCAUUGACUCAUAAUCACAUCGGCUCUGUGCUAUUUAUAAACAUGGUAACAUGUAUAUCCAGUCGAUGUUAUAGGAUUUAAAUGUAUCCUACAAAGACAGAUUUAUAUCAAUCUUCAUCGGAUAAAAUAUUAAUUCCAAAAAAAUAGGGAAUAUUUAUGUUUAUAUUUACUGAUCAAAUAUUAUUCAUGGGAUUUGCUGCAACCAAAAGAGAAGAAGAUUUUAGGAAAGAAAAUCUUAAAAGGGCACCAGGGAGUCAUGUGGCCAAGGCCAUUACUUUAAAUAAACUGCCAUGCCUUCUUAUCCAGACUCUGGUUUGAACUUUUCACCUCGGUUGAAGACACAUGGAAGUUAUGAAAAGAUGAAUUUGUUUUCUUCAGUUCAUUCAAUGCCGGUAUAAUCGGUGUGAGCUCAACAGACAUUGUGAGUCUUUCAUGUAAGUGUGAGAAUAUCCGGGCGAUUGAAAGCAUGAAUGCCUUAUUGUCAUUAUUAACACAGCAGUGAUUGAUACCAUUCAAGUGAUAAUAAUCCACUUUCUGAAUUAACUCUGGCUAAACAGUUGACACGCGUCAUCAUUUGUUUGUACAAUAUAUCCCGAAAAAUAUAAUGACAUUACUUAUUUACUAUUGAUUCACCACUUUUUAUUUAACAAUGUUUGUGAUCCAUAAACAAUACAUUAUAAGACUAGUUUUGGACCCCGGGCCACACUUUGGACCGCCCUUGGGGACAUUUAGUUUUUUAAUGUUGAAUUCAAGUGUUCAAAUUUAGAAAUUGAGGUAGAACUAUUUAAUUUGGCGCUGAAUAAAAUGUUUUAUUUGUUCAGUUUUUAUCACAUCAUCUAAACCUAUUUCUAAAUAAAGGUAUUACAGCUGUUUGAGACAUACGUAUUAUAGGGAAACAAGCCCCGCCCACUCUUGUGGGGACAUUUCUUUGCUGUUGUUGUGACGUUGGCAGAAGAGCAGGGCGUUGUUUGUAAACAGUCAACAUGUCAGGAUGCAUCAUGUGCGACUGACACGAGAACAAGGAAUGUGCUCAGGCUGUGAGACAAAAGACAUUAGAAAGACAUUCAGAGACCCACAAAGAGUAUACAGUUACAGUACAAUUAUCAGUAAUGAAAUCAAACACCAAGCAUUGACAUAAUAAUCACUAUCUUGGCUAAUAUGAGCCGAUGCAAUGGCAUCUUUAACCUUAAGACAACAAACAGGACAAUAGACAGAAAGAGUUGUAUCAAGAGGUCAGAGGGUUGGUUAUGGUAUUUUGUAAUUAUGAUGUUUUUUAAUGAAUGAAGAUGGAAGAGUGGAAAGUUUUUCCAAUUUAAAGAAGUACAAUUACAAUUUAAAGAAUGAAAAAAAGAGAUGAACUUUCAUGUUCCCACUGAGCCACUGAAGUGGAACCUGCAGCGCUGACGGUGCUAACAGGGCUUAAAGGUUCAUAUUUAGACCAUAUUUGACACCUGCGUUCAACUGAGAAAUUGUGACCUGGUUUCUUAGUUAUCCAAAAUGAUGAUAUGCUAUUGUUUCACUACUGAAAAUUCCAGGGAAAUAUGGUCAACAAGAAUCUUGAAAAAAGUAGAAUUGAGAAGUUGGUUAUAAUAUUUACACGUUUCAGCCGAUUUGGAUUCAUGAAAUUGUGAAUUCAUUCUGAAUUUGUCUAAACUUUUAUGGCUUAUUUUACAUCUGCCUAUUUUCAUCUAACAAUCGUGUAGAAGUGUUUUUAAUUGUAUUUCAAAUCUGAUUCUUUGGCAGUCUAUCAUUUGAUGUUCUAUUUGAACUGACCUGAACUGACUUUAAACAACAUAUUACGCAUUGACGUUUGGUGGAUGAGUGACAAUCAUUAAAAGAUUCCAGAAACUAGUCAUCCCCCUACACCCCCAUCCCUUGAUUGCUCUUGUUGCUUAGCAACAACAAUGUUAAGAGCAGACUGUGUGUGUUUGACGUCUGGGAUUCUGCCUCUCUUCCAGUGACUCGGCUCCGAGGCGUUUCUGGGAGCGGUGCCGCCCUGUUGGUGAUCCAUUUGUUUAUUUAUUUAGAUUUCUCUGUCUCAUUACAUCAAAAGAUUUGCAAAUUGUUUUUAUUUUUAAAGCGCUGAUAAUUAUUUUUAAAUUAGUUUCCCCUGUUAGUAACAUGUCGUUUCUAAAAAGUGAGUGUUCUCUGCGUUAAAUCUCCUAUAAAGUAAAAAUAAAGUAGUAUGUAUGCCUGUGUAACAAGUGGAGGAGGAGGUGGAGGAUGAUUUCUUAUUUUCUUAAAUUAUUGUGGUGUGGUUAUGGAGUGAUAUUUAGAACCAGAAAUCAGUUGUUAGAAUGGAGUGGGUCUGAUGCACGUAGACUCAAUCACAUCAAUUCAUCGUCAGAGAUAAUACGUCUUUUAAAAGAAUGUCACUCUGCAGGUUUCUAAACGGUGUUAUAACAUACAGUAUGAAUGACAUAUUACAGGGGUGGCUGCACCUUUGGAAAACAUCAUCAAUGUCUGAUGUCACCUUACAUUCUCUGCAUGGAUAUAAAAGCUGCUUCAUGCUCAGUGGAGAACAUUGACCAGCAAACAGAGAACCCUGAACAGGUGAACAGGAGAGUAUAACUACUUCACGGCAGGAAAGAGAAGUCAAGCUCAAACCAUCUCUGUGAGUGUUUUUCAUCUCCAUUGUCUAUUUCUAUGAGAUACGUUUCCUGCCUUUUCAUGUUUCAAUGUUAUGAAAUGAUAUAAAUUUUAUUUAUCAUUGGUGAUACAUGUAUCUGUUUUCAGGGUGUAGAUGAAUCUUUAAUUAUUGUCUGUGUACAACUAUUAAUGUGUUAUGUCUUGAUAUUUUAAAGUUGUUCUUAACUUAAAAGGUUAAAUUAUUUACAAAAUAGCAUGUUUUAUACUUUCUAAAGAAAGUAUGCUAAUAAUACCGGUAAAUGGUAAAAGUUUGUCAAACAUUAUGGUGUUGAUGAAAAUUUGAAGUAAAUUUAUUAUUAUGUAACACAGUACUAAAUGUAAUUACUAAAUAUAUUACUGGUUGAAAUAUACCUGAGUUAAUAUUAACAUCUAAAAGUCUCUUUCUACAAUAGGGAACAACUUUCCAUUGAGGAUGAAGAUCUGUAUCGUCCUACUUCUGUGUGUUGGUAAGCUUAAUGACUUGAAACACAAUAAAUCUUUCAAAUGUUCCAUCCAAAUUUUAAUUAAAACUGAUUCAUUCAUAUCAUUUCUGAACAGCGUUAGGAAAUGCAGAAACAACAACAGUUGCAAAUGCAGGAACAACUACGGCUGCCCCAGCGACAGCUGCACCUGCAACAACAGUACCACCUGCAACAACUACAGUAGCAGCCGAAACAACAGUGACAGCCACGACCACUACGGUACCAGCCACAACAACUACAGCCAACCCAACAACAACUGCAGUGGCAGCAACCACCACAGAUGCCCCAGCCACAACUACAGCAGCUCUAACAACUACACCUGCACCAGCAACGACUACAGUACCAACUGUAACAACUACAGUAGCAGCCACAACAACUACAGUACCAUCUGCAACAACUAGAG